CUCUUGUAGUGGCUACCUGCCCAGCAAAUAAGCUCCAGUAAAGCUCCUCCAGGAAAAGGGAAUCUGACUCUGCUACCUUUCACUAGGCAGCACCUGCUCUAAAACCUGCCGCAUCUGGCCCUCGGUUGUGUUUCCUUGACCCCUCUUGUAGUGGCUACCUGCCCAGCAAAUAAGCUCCAGUAAAGCUCCUCCAGGAAAAGGGAAUCUGACUCUGCUACCUUUCACUAGGCAGCACCUGCUCUAAAACCUGCCGCAUCUGGCCCUCGGUUGUGUUUCCUUGACCCCUCUUGUAGUGGCUACCUGCCCAGCAAAUAAGCUCCAGUAAAGCUCCUCCAGGAAAAGGGAAUCUGACUCUGCUACCUUUCACUAGGCAGCACCUGCUCUAAAACCUGCCGCAUCUGGCCCUCGGUUGUGUUUCCUUGACCCCUCUUGUAGUGGCUACCUGCCCAGCAAAUAAGCUCCAGUAAAGCUCCUCCAGGAAAAGGGAAUCUGACUCUGCUACCUUUCACUAGGCAGCACCUGCUCUAAAACCUGCCGCAUGUAUGUACUUUUAGUACCACUACUUGUUUGUCACAAGAUAACGCUCUGCCUCGUGGCUGCCAGCAGCUUGCCUUACUCAACACCCUACUCUCACCAGUGGCCGUUUCUAUUUUCCCACAUUUUUUUCCUCAUCUCGACUAGCCUGUACUGCAUAGCUAUUACCAUACACAGCCACUAGAUGGCAGUAUAAGUCUGCUUUCCCCUCUCUAGUUGUAUUCC